GGCUUAAUUUGACUCAACACGGGGAAACUCACCAGGUCCAGACAUAACUAGGAUUGACAGAUUGAUAGCUCUUUCAUGAUUUUAUGGGUGGUGGUGCAUGGCCGUUCUUAGUUGGUGGAGUGAUUUGUCUGGUUAAUUCCGAURACGAACGAGACCUUAACCUGCUAAAUAGCCAGGUCGGCUUUUGCUGRUCGCCGGCUUCUUAGAGGGACUGUCAGUGUCUAACUGACGGAAGUUUGAGGCAAUAACAGGUCUGUGAUGCCCUUAGAUGUUCUGGGCCGCACGCGCGCUACACUGACAGAGCCAGCGAGUUCUUUUCCUUGGCCGGAAGGUCUGGGUAAUCUUGUGAAACUCUGUCGUGCUGGGGAUAAAGCAUUGCAAUURUUGCUCUUCAACGAGGAAUACCUAGUAAGCGUGAGUCAUCAGCUCGCGUUGAUUACGUCCCUGCCCUUUGUACACACCGCCCGUCKCUACUACCGAUUGAAUGGCUUAGUGAGGUCUCCGGAUUGGCUNUUGGGGACCGGCAACGGCRCUUGAUUGCUGAGAAGCUGAUCAAACUUGGUCAUUUAGA
rnacentral:rRNA from 1 species